GUGUUGCAAAGUGAGCGUGCGCAUUUGCGUUUAUCGUUAUCGUGUAUCGCCACAGACAAGUGUUGUGUGGCGACUGUUAAAAGUAAGUUGGCAGUACUCAAAGUGUUGCUAAUUGCCAAAUUGCACGUGCGCAUUCAAAUUGGAUUUAACUAAUUGGAACUUUAAAAUUUACGUUAAAUUAUUUAUGGUAAUUAAAUUUGAUAUUUCUUAUUAAGGAUUUUAGGUAAAUAUUGGUUAUAAAUUCAAUAUCAAAUAUCAAAUAUAAUUAGGACUCCUUGUAGCUUUAUUUAAGAGCAUGUUUUUAUUUUUAAAUUCAUAUUUUUAACUUUAUUAAUAGAUUUAAUCGUAAAUGAAACUUCAACCGAAUUACUACUAAUUUAGUAACGUCAAAAAAUCAAACGAGCUUAAAUCGAUAAAUUUAUAUGUUUUAUCGAAACUUACUUUUAUUGCCAUUUUUUAUCGUCAAAUUUAGAAUUUGACUACACUGUACUUUUUCACCUGACAUUUCAAAAGGACAGCAAAAUUUUCAACUCAAUUGAAUAUGUUUUCGCAUGAACUUUGAAAAUUGAAAAUAAUUAUAGAUUGUCAAACUGUUGAGCUUAAUUAAAAGCUUAUAGCUUAAAAAUUAAAAAUACAUAUUUUCACAUAUUCUUAGAUUAGUUUCUGCGUGUAUUUCGCUAGCGAUAAGUUUCUUAUUUUGCAGUCUAAAGUUACACAAAUAGAUAGUUUUCAUGCAAAUGGUAAAUAGCAUAUAGUUUUUUUUUUUUAAUUGUCUUUUGAACGCUUUUAAAGCUAGUUAUUGGAUAAGAUAUAACGAGGUUAGAUGCAGUUAAAUCUUAUUUAGUUACUUCCUAAAUGACAAUUUUGACAGAUGGACUUCGCAUAAAAUACUUCAGUCAUCGACUCCUUUUUGAAGUUACGUUUUGAAAGUCACUGAAUUGCAGUUUUAAAGUCACUAUUCCAAUAUUCGAAAUACUUUACAUGAAACUGGCAACUUAAACAUUUCUUAAGCGAUUUCUAUAACAAAUUAGACUCCAACAUAUUAUCUCUUUGAUUACAACUUUAAGUCAGUUAAAAAAUUUCUUUAAAAUAAUGCGAACUCGUCAUUUUAUUGUCAUAGUUAAUAUAUAUUUAAUUAUAUUAACUGUUAAUAUUCCAUAUGUUCAAUAGCUCGAGAGCAGCUCGACAAUUGAAAUAAUUUUUCUUGGCUUGUUCAUCUCUACUCAGAAAUCGAAAUUUGCUCUUUGUAUUGCUCUUGAAAAGAUGGCUUUGACUUAUGUAUCAAAGCCACAUCCUGUCAAUUGAGUUGCUUGUACUGUUAGCAAUUCGUGUUUCAAGUCAGUUCCUGAAAGUUUCUCGACUCGACCAGAUCGAGCGGUUGUGCAAAAUAUUUCAGCGAAUAAUUAAAUAAUCUAAAUGAUAUGAAAUUAGUUCGUUUAUGCAAUUAACUCAGUUUUGUUAAGUUCUCAGUGAGCGUGAAUAACAAAGCCCAAGAAUGCGAGAAGCUGAAACAGGGACAAUGAAAGAAAUAAACGUAUUCGAGCUUCCAAUUUCGUCACUGCGAAGGUGAUUCUGGCCAGCCAACGCCGGGUAUUUUAUUUUGGUCUUGAAAACGCGAUUGUUUUAAUUUUUGAGGCAAACAAAACAACUUUUCCGUUUGAGAUUAGCGAAAUUUGAAUUGUUAAAGAAUUGAUAAAAUCCAUCCUAUUGUCCGUUCAUAUACUUGUGUAUCUCUGUAUUUUUCUAAGCAAGCCUCGAUCAAGUUUAAGUUUUACAAAGAUCCUCUUCUACUCUACGUUAAAUGAGCCGAGUUCAUCGAAUCGGAGUUGUUGUAAACACGCUAUAGGCCAAAAAAUUGAGUUCUAGCACAAGAAUUUUAUUUUAUUUUGGCGAUAAAUGUGCAACCCAAAACUUAAAACACGUAGCUUUCUUAAGAUCGAUUGAGGAUCGUAAAUAAAAUUGCUGCUAGAAAAAUUUCUUAA